rnacentral:lncRNA from 1 species
ACAAAACGAACCUUUUUUUUUGGUUUGCAGGUUGUGGCCGGUUACGGAGAAUCGGUUUCGGGAAAAAGAGGGGAGAUUCCGGUACAAUUAAGUCGGUUCUGGAGAAUAGGAAGGUGGAAUGAGGAGGAGAAGACGAAACCGGAGAGAAUCGGAGGAGGAGAUGCAAUGUCUGGGGAAAUUAGAGCCGGGCCGUUUAGGGUUCGAAGGGGAAAAAAUAGGUUUGGCAGCUUUUCUGGUUUACGAUGAGACGAGAUGUCCUUUAUACAAUACAUCUACCAAACUCUUUUAUUUUUUGCUUAAGUUUGUUUUCCGUUUCUUUUUUUUUUCUAUUAAUUCCUAAAUUACCAAAACGCCGUCGUUUUGUUUUUAGGGUAUUUUUCUUGCUAAACGACGUCGUUUGUCUUGUUCUUCGACUUGGAUCGGAACCUCGUCUUCGUUGUUUGUCUCUGAUCUCGUUGCUUCUCCAACGUAGAACAGUGUUGAAGCUGAAGUUUUUGUUUACUUAGAUCGGAGAAACGUCUUCUUGUCUGAAAAAGUAAAUCAAAGUUUGAUAUACUUUAUAGACACUUUUUCUUGCUUUCGUUGAGGCAUUUCGUCGAACACUUAGACGACGCUGAGACGAGAUGUCCUUUAUACCAUCUACCAAACUCUUUUAUUUUUGCUAAAGUUUGUUUUCCGUUUCUUUUUUUUUCUAUUAAUUCCUAAAUUGCGAAAACGCCGUCGUUUUAUUUUUAGGGUAUUUUUCUUGCUAAACGACAUCGUUUGUCUUCUUCUUCGACUUGGAUCGGAAACUCGUACUCGUCUUAGUUUUCUCUGAUCUCGUUGCUUCUCCAACGUAGAACAGUGUUGAAGAUGAGGUUUUUGUGUACUUAGAUCUCCAAUAUACUUUCUGUCGGAGAACUUCUUCUUGCCCUGAAAAAGUAAUAAAAAUUUGAUAUACUUAAAUCCAAUUUCGUCGAACACUUAGACGUCGCUCUCGUUUUUGUCUCCAGGAUCGUUAUUGUUGCCACAAUCGAAGCCUUGAAAUGGAAAAGCUUAUUGAGAACCAUCAGUUUGCGACGCAUGCUAUCGCCGCAUCGGCCUCUGUCUCGCUAGGAACUGCGCUCGCUUACCCUCUAGAUACCAUCAAAACCAUUAUCCAGGUUUCUUUCUUCUUCUUCUUAGCCAACUUUUUCAUCUAUCGCUUUGAACUCUCCGGGGGGGAUUGAUGUCUGCAAUUGAAAAUGCAGGUUGGUUCAGGACCCAGUAAGAAACUAAGCCCAUCUCAAGUCGUCAACAGAGUUUUCCGCUUCUCUGGCUAUUCAGGUUUCGCAAAAGUUAUUCUUUUGAAUGUUGCUUCAGGCAAAAAUGAUGUAUUGUUUGAUUGGUUCCGUCUUUUUGAACACAAAUGCAGGUUUGUACAGUGGUCUUGGAUGGUUAACACUUGGAAGAAUCUCAGGUGUUGGUGCAAGGUUCGGUGUCUAUGAGAUUCUCACGGCUUUUUAUAAAGGUAUUACGCAGAUCCAUGUCUCUUUUAAUGCUUAAUGUGUAUGAUUCAAGUGUAGGUUUUGCAUCUUGAACUUCUGUCAAGAACGCAGUCUGUUAAAGAUCCAUCUCUCUUUCUGCAUUUGUUCAUAGAGUCAACUGAUUUCAGGAAGACUGUCUUUUCAGGACAGUAAACCAAAAAGUUAAGGACUUUAAGGCCCUUAUGAUCAGAGCUCAACUCCUCGACCAGAACGGAACAGCCUGUCCUCUUCCACAUCGCUUUGCAAUCUUCAACUUCUCUAGUUGUUUCCUCUACACAACUCUUCAGUAUCCAACCUCGAAGGUCAUCGUGCGUUGGUGCAGACACUCCGUAUCCUCCAGAGGCAAUGGCAUCGAUCAUCGGCUGGAGAUUAGCAGAGUUCACCGCAUCGAAAUCAGCUCCGAUACCAAACAGAAACCGUCCAACCGCCAUGUGAACGGCGUUCUCCCUAUCUUUAGAAGCUGGGUGCACAAUGUUCUUCACGCUGCUAAUCGCCACGGGGACCAAAUUGGUGUCCAUGUCUGUACCAAUCAAGCCAUUGUUGUUGCUCGAACUGCCAUUCUCUAAAAAAGCAGCCUUCUUUCUCCUGUAGGGCCUCUGCUUCGUUCUGCCCUCGUUUUGCACGACUACAUCAGUACUCUCCGGCGAGGUGAAACCGUUGUUGGCAUCAGACUGAACCACCAUCAUCAUCGGCUCAGCUUCACAAGGAGGCAAAGCAGGCAAAGACUCAGGCUCAGCUGAGGUGGAAUGGCGUCUCUUCCUCUGACGUCUCACGGUUCCUUCGAUGCACUGCCGCAAGAAGAGCCUAACAUCUUCCGGGACUUGGUCGCAGAUCACGCCUUGUCCCUUGAUGCCAGCGAGAUGCUCCUUGACCCUCGUGAUACCGCCGCCUUUGAACAUUUUGCGACAGUAGAGGCACCUCAUCUGGAGCCGGUCGCCGUAUUUGUAGAUUUCACAGUGCUUCCACGCAUUGUCUUGCUUCUGAGGUGUAAGAGCUACAGGUUCCAACUCCGGCUCCAUUUUGGUUAAGCCUGAGUUUCAUCGGAAGAAGAAAGCAAAAGGCAGAGACUUUGUUAAUGGGUAAUGAAAGAUUAAAGCUUUUUCGGGAAUUAAAAAUAAAAAAAACGUAACGAAGAUAACAAAGAUCCUAUCACAACCCUGAUGAAUAUUUCAAGAAAUCAAAAGACGAAUUCUAAAACCUCUUCCCCAUGCAACACCGGCCAGAUAACAGAAUUUGGAUUAAGACAAAAACCGAUGUAAGAAGAAGGAACAAAACGAACCUUUUUUUUUGGUUUGCAGGUUGUGGCCGGUUACGGAGAAUCGGUUUCGGGAAAAAGAGGGGAGAUUCCGGUACAAUUAAGUCGGUUCUGGAGAAUAGGAAGGUGGAAUGAGGAGGAGAAGACGAAACCGGAGAGAAUCGGAGGAGGAGAUGCAAUGUCUGGGGAAAUUAGAGCCGGGCCGUUUAGGGUUCGAAGGGGAAAAAAUAGGUUUGGCAGCUUUUCUGGUUUACGAUGAGACGAGA